rnacentral:tRNA from 1 species
AGGGGUGUAGCUCAGCUGGUCAGAGCGCCGGUCUCCAACACCGAAGGCCGCAGGUUCGAAUCCUGCCGCCCCUG